rnacentral:snRNA from 1 species
AUAGUGUAAAUAAAAUUUUUCUAAACAGUACCUGUUCUUAUCAGCUUAAUAUCUGGUAUGGCCCUAUGAUGGGUCUUUGAUAUUAACUUUAUUUUUGGAAAGCGGCGCCGUGUACGGGGCUUGCCCUCACGGCGCCACGGGUCGUUCCGACGUUGUACUACAGCCGGCACGGCCCACUGUCG